rnacentral:rRNA from 1 species
UACGUAGGGUGCAAGCGUUGUCCGGAAUUAUUGGGCGUAAAGAGCUCGUAGGCGGUUUGUCGCGUCGAAUGUGAAAACCCGGGGCUCAACCCCGGGCCUGCAUUCGAUACGGGCAGACUAGAGUUCGGUAGGGGAGUCUGGAAUUCCUGGUGUAGCGGUGAAAUGCGCAGAUAUCAGGAGGAACACCGGUGGCGAAAGCGGCUUCCUGGUCCAGCACCGACGUUCAGGCACGAAAGCGUGGGGAGCAAACAGG